AGGAAGGGACGGAGGGAGGGAAAGAAAGAAAGAUGCAUUUUUUAAACGAGUCAAUAAGGGCCCAUGUCUCUUUCUCUGAGCUCCCCUGGGUAGUUCUGGUGUGUAGUACUGUUGGGGGCGUAAGGUGUGGAGGGCUCGAUUGGGUCGAUUCCUCUCCUCACAGGCCUGUCCUCGCCGGAAGAGCCAUGACGUGGCACCUGCCAGAACCAACGGCCGGCAUGAGUCUUUAAGAGGGACAACCAAGAGAACUUCUCCCCUAGACCCGCCAGUCUGGCUUGCACACAAUGUACUACAAGAGGAAGAAAUCAUUGCUGUUUUUCUGGUGCUUUUUUCGAGGUUGACCGAGAGAAGAUAUAAGCCUAGUAAGAAUUGCAGGAUAACUGCAUUAUGGUUCUGGAUCUACUACCCUGGUGGAAAAUAAGGCCUGUCUGGAUUUCAACAUCCUGGAUUUCGCAUCCAUAGUUGUUGUGUGCUGCUGACUGUCUACCCAUGUCCGAUUUGAGGUAAGUGGAUACAUGUCUAAGUGUGCUUCAUUGCAUGAAUGUGUGUAAACUAGUCUGUUUAAACCACACAUGGAAGUGCACAUUAUUUUAAUAUUGUUUAUUUUUAGUUUAAGGAUCUCAGACUCAUACAAUGCAGAGAUUGACUUCUCAAUAAUACACUCUACAGAUAAACAUCAAUAACAAUAACAUACACUACCACGUCCCCAAACAAUCCAGCAUUUUGAUGUUGCCAAUUUGUACUUCGCUGAAGAAACUGCCAAUGUAGUUUCCGAUGUAGUUAUAGUUCCUGCUUCCCUCGUGGCUGUGUUUGCAAUGGUCAUCGUUUGGGGUCAAAAGAGGAGGACAGUUUUUGAGGGACCAGAGCUGAGUGUGGUUGCUGUAGUUUUGGGAGACAUGCCAAAGCAUGGCAGAAGGUCUGUGACUCUCUCCCAGAGUGGCUUUUCAGUGAACCACUGCAGCUAAGAGAAAGCCAUCAGAACGUGUAAAUCCAAAAGAUUGUUGUCUUAUUCUUAAUUUAAGCGCUUACAGAUAUUGGCCGAUUUUAUUUUGUUUUUCAUCCGUAAAUGCGGAAGAUAAUCCAAACAGUCACAUGACGGUUUAAUUGUUUACAUCAAUGUCUUUUUAUACUGUGCAAGUCAGUUUCCAUUUUUCAACAAAUGUUUAAUUUAACUUUAAUCGACAAACAAUAUAUUAUUUUCUCAAGUGUAUUUGCUCAAGUGGUCCUGCCACGUGACACAUUUAAUAUAGCAACAUUUCUAUGUAUAAAAUUGGGUUUAUAUAAUUUCUUAGAAAAUAUGUCCCUUUCAAUGUUUUCUCUUAAAUGGAAGAACAAAUUCUGCUGUAUCAGUAUAGGCUUGAAAAAAUAAUAGGCCCCAAAAAUCCAUUGAUAGUAGUUGUGGUAUGUCCAGUGUUGAUGCCGAUUCUGAUAGACCUUCACCAAUAGCAGGAGGGUAUUUUGAUUUAACCAAUAGCAGUUGACUUAGAGGUAGGUGAGUCAUCACAGAUAAAACACACGAGAACCAACAUAUAUUAGUUGUACAAUACUCUAUUCUUCACCACAUAACACUGGAACAGUAUAAGACUUACAGAACACCGAAAUAGAUUAUGUUUAGGCCUAUUACAUUUAGUUUUCUUUAACAAAUAGAAAGGAUCCUUCAUACGGUAAGAUACAAACUCUUAUUUUAUUAUUGUAAUGUAGCCCCUCGUAAUAAAUUGUUGUUUCAAUGCCAUUAAAAGCAAUCAUACAUUGUCUCGGAAUACCGUAUUAAAAACAUUAUCAUAGGUGUUAACUAUGGCAAGAUGAGGGACAGUGUGUUGGACAAGAGAAGGGUGAUGAAGAUAUGCACGUGUAGGCACAGGGCGUACCCCCUCUGUCUCAGGCUUUUAGAGGCCUGGUGGGAAGGAACGAGCCGAAACCUAGGAUCACAAUGUGUUUCCAGAAUGUUCUAGAAUUUGGCGAGGUGUUCCAGAAACUGGUGAGGCAUUCUAGAAGGUGUUAUAGUUGUCAUUGUACCUUUACAUAUCAUCCAACACCUGAAUACAGAAAGAUGAUUUUAGGCACGUGUCUACUGUACCAUUUCUUACUUCAUUUCAUCAGCGGGUUGUACAGUUUCAGGGUACAGAAAGGAAAGAUCGUAAAAGAGGACACAGUGGAUCGGCCCUCCAAUGUUAGUAAUGGGUGGGUAUUUAUAGUUGUAUUGAAGCGCAUGUAAGCAUAAGAUACAUUUCAGACAUACUGAGCCCAUUCCUGGGGUAUGCCAAAGGGACUGCUCGUGUAAGCAGACACACACACACACAUAUACUGUCACGUAGAGGCAGCAAACACCCAGACACACUCGAUGCCAUGUGCUCCACAAUGGACCCUGGGUUUAACGAUGAAUGGAGUUCCCACGACACUGUAAAGGAGAGGAGGGCGCAAACCCCUCCUUUUAGCAUUCACAUACACACAAAAGCAAAAUAAAUGACAUAUUUACAUGCAAACAUACACACUAUUUACACACACACUUAUACACUUACAUGCGAUCACACUCAAACACAAACACACUCCACACACUCAGAAUGUGAAAAAUGUGUAAGAAGAGACACUUAAUUACCAUAUUAUGAUUUUGAAACCCUGUGUUUUGUUAAUACUCAUAAGCAAAAUGAAAUAUAUUGACAGAGAGAAGUGCAACACCACUGCAUUCAUGAGAGAAUUGAUUGAUGAGAAACAGAACAGAAAGAAAUGUAGGCCAGGCUAAAUUGCAUUCAGACAAUUUUUUAAGAUGUGAUUGCGAGGUUGGGUAAGUGUUUGCGCGCACAUUGUGUGUGUGUGUGAGAGAGAGAGGGACAGACGGAGGGAGCGAGAGCCAGAGGGAGGUAGAGAGGGGGAGAAAUAAAUGGUAAUAAAGCUGGUUUUGUGGAGGGAAUCUAAAUGAAGCAUUGAAACAAAAGAUCUAUGGGUCUAUGGGAAAAUCUAACAGCUUAUUCAAGUCCAAAGACUGUGUGUGUGUGUGUGUGUGUGUGUGUGUGUGUGUGUGUGAGAGAGACUGAGCCAAUAAUAAUAUGUAAGUCCAUUUUUUCAAUAUUUACAUUAUUCACAGUUAUUUAAUUAUGGGGGUUUGCAUGAUAAAAAUGUCUUAUCAAUUAUAAUGUUUGGGUCAAAAUGACAAAAAGUAUUGUACUUACAGUAUUUGCCAUUACAUUACAUUACAUUGGUAUAAACAUAUCCAGACUUCAAUCAGUAUUUUAAAAUAAAUGUACAUUUGCAUGAAAUUCUGGAAGUAAAUAUAUUUUUUAAAUUGAACAAUAAAAAGCUGUAUAAUAUUAUUUUAUAAUAUUAUAAUUUUGAAGUGUUAGUCUUUACAUUUACUUACUCUCACAUAAUUUACAAUUGACUUGUCAUAAACAAACUUCACACUUUACGACAUAACUGUGUAUUGUGUUGGAUGGUCAACAUUUGAAAUAGGUGCAACAUUUCAGGUGUGUGUGUGUGUGUGUGUGUGUGUCCAUACACAUUCCAGUUCUAUCCUAAUGAACUGUUAAUUUAUCAACAUGUAGAUGUUCUAAUUUGAAGAGGUGGAGUAUAAAAACAACUUUAGUGCGUCAGUUAGACAAUUUAUUUGACUCGGCAAGUCAGUUAAGAACAUAUUCUGAUUUACGAUGACAGCCUACACCAGCCAAACCCAGAUGGCGCUGGGCCAAUUGUGCGCCGCCCUAUGGGAGAAAACACAGCCGGUUGUGAUACAGCCUGGAUUUGAACCGGGGUGUCUGUAGUGACACCUCAAGCACUGAGAAGCAGUGCCUUAGACCGCUGCGCCACUCGGGAGCCCGAGUUACCUCAUUAUAUAUCUUUAAAACCAUGCGUUUCGGGUGUGUUUACAGACAUUAUGUUGACUUAAGACAAAUCUAUAUAGAUGUAUACAGAUUUUGUCUUAUGUUUUCCUGCUAUAGUGAUCUAAGAAAAGUUUUGACCUGUAAUUUCAGUCAUAAUUACAUGACCCUUGAUGAUUAGAAAUCACCUCAGUGAUGAAGGUCAUAGAUAAGCAAAUGAGGACAUAAAUCAGGAUACACCCGAAGGAAAGACAGAAUAACAGACAUAUUUCUAUUUAAAUAGACAUUUACAGUAAUAACCCAUACGAUCUGUGAACUUCAGUAUGUGGGCCAAAAAUAGCAAUGCUCAAUACAGAAAGUGACUUUAUGGACAGAGACACCAAACGCGAACGUUUACUUUGUGCAACCGCUUGCAUUUGAUGCCACUCGGGCCAGUAACUGUCCAAUACUGUAGUCAAUUUUGGUACAGUCCUGAUCACUUCAGCAUAUGGGAAUUCAGUCUUAAUUAUAUAUAUGAACAGAGGUUCGGGGAAAGCAUAGGCCUGGGAGUGCUCCUGUACCAGUCAACGUGAAAUGAACUUGUACUGGGCAGACAAACUUUAUACAAACUAUAUGCCGGUUUUUACUAAAUCAAACGGUAAUACAUUUGUUUCUGUGUUUGUGGUUUGCUUCACGAGCGUUAUUGUACUUUCAGACUUUUAGAAGAAUUUCAGGUGUUUAAAUGGGUUGUUUGAUUUUUGCAGGUUGAUUGGAUCUGGGGGUCAAUGUAUAGAGACGGAACAGACCCCGGAUUAAAAGGUGAAAUUAUGUUUAAUUUAAAUAUUCUUGUUUCUUAAGCUUAUUAAGGUACAGUUUAUAUUGGUUUGGUAUUUGGUUUGCUUUUCAUUGUGUGAUUUUCAUUGUACACUAAGUAAAAUCAAUGGCACUAUGUAGCUGUUUGGUUUAACCUGAAAUGAAAAGCGUCUCGCCUCAUUGUUCUGUAGCCUGCAGUUACACAAAGUUAGUCAAAUGUUUAUGGUGCAGUUGUUUGAUUUGAAUAAACCCUCGCACUCACAGUAUAAGAGAAAAAAUCUCAGCUAGUAGACUGUGGUUACGGUAAUGUUAGUGAUCUGUACAGUACAGUAGAAGCGGCUCAUACUCUGAAGCUGCCAAAGAAAUCAGUGAAAGAGGGAGUAAAUCCAGUACCUCAAAGGUCAGAUGAAGAUGAAGAGACAGUUGGCUCCCUGAGAAGUGCAACCCACAGUGAGUUGGCACCCUGAACUACACAAAGUCCCUAUUGUCAGUGGGUGCACUGCAAACAGCACUCAAUAGACCUAUAAGGCCUACGGCUCCAGUCCUGGGGGAAAAGCACCACCUGUUGGCCGUUUGGUAAUAUACUGCAGAUUGACGAGGCAAGUUCUAGAAUCAUACUUGUGUGAUGAGUAACCUUGCCUGAAACCUGUAGACUUAUGCUCCCUUAGUGAAUGCCCAGCCUUUAGCUCAGUGGGAUAACACAGUCUUUUGGCAUUCUGGAGACCCAGGUUCAAACCCGGCCAUUCAAUAUUAGUGUCACAUGUUCAAAGCAUUUCCACUAAAAUGUCCUGCCCUUUAGCACCCCGAAGAAUGAUGUCUGUAAAAGGAAGUUAAUGAUGUGACAUUAGAAAUAGUGCAAUAUUUUGUCUGUGAGUUUUGUGUGUGUCCUUACCCUCAGUGGAGUUGUGAAGUUCAGCCAUGGUUCAGCUCCUCUUCUCUACAAUGGAGAAUGAAUCUGCUCCAUUCAUAUAAAGCAAAAUGAAAGCCACUGACUGUGCGGGAGGUUUCACAAAGCUAGAGGCAGAGCCAGGGUAUUGAAGUGUGACACCUAAAGUUUCACUUCCACAUGUUAUUAUAACCCUGUUAGUAUAAUAUAAUACACACUUUCCUGGACACAGACCAAGCCUACUACUGAACUAAAAAGCAUUCUCAAUGGGAGAAUCUCUAUUGAAAGAUUUUUUUUGUUCAGGACUGUGCUUAAUGUGUCCAGGAAACUGAAACAAUAUAACCAAAUACAAAUACAUAUUAUAAUCUAUUAGUAUAAUAGUACAAUCCUAUUCGUUUAAUAUGGUCUCACCCAUCCAGGUUGGAAUAGGAGGAGUAGCACUGAACUGACAGUGGAUUGCUACGGAGGGAUACAAUGUGACUGUGCCAAAAAAUGUUAGAAACAGUGGUAGAUUCUAUUUACUUCAAUUGCCAUGGGGUUGUGUGUGUCCUAACAUUAGAUUGGCUAAAGAGGGCAUCUCUGGACACUGGCUGAAUGUGACAAUGUGAUUUCUCUUCUCAGUUAAAGCCCCGCUGUCAGUUACAUUGAUAACAUACACACUGAGUGUACAAAACAAUAAGAACACCUUCCUAAUAUUGAGUUGAGUUGCACCCCCACCCCCCCUUUUGCCCUUCGAACAGCCUCAAUUUGUCGGACAUGGACUCUACAAGGUGUCGGAAGCGUUCCACAGGGAUGCUGGCCCAUGUUGACUCCAAUGCUUCCCACAGUUGUCAAGUUUUGCUGGAUGUCCUUUAAGUGGUGGACCAUUCUUGAUACACAUGGGAAACUGUUGAGCGUGAAAAACCCAGCAGCGUUGCAGUUCUUGACACAAACUGGUGCGCCUGGCACCUACUACCAUACCCUGUUCAAAGACACUUAAAUCUUUUGUCUUCCCCAUUCACCCUCUGAAUGGCACACAUACACAAUCCAUGUCUCAAUUGUCUCAAGGCUUAAAAAUCCUUAUUUAAACUGUCUCCUCCCCUUCAUCUACACUGAUUGAAGUGGAUUUAACAGGUGACAUCAAUAGGGGAUCGUAGCUUUCAACUGGAUUCACCUCUCAGUCUGUCAUUUAAAGGUGUUCUUAAUGUUUUGUAUACUCAGUGCACAUUGAUACAGACUGUUAAGAUACAUUGACACAAAUAAUUCAACUACACGCAACAAUGUUUCACCCCAAUCCGGUGUAAAAUGGGCCACGGUUUACUUGACAAAGAGGCAUGGAUCCGUGCAAUGGGAAUUGUUUCAGCAACACAUCAGUCACUUAUUCAAGUGAUUCCGUUUUGAUUUAAAUAACCUAUUCUCAGUGACUGAUGGACAGGGAGUACUGGAUUUCUGUGGCAUUUAUGUGAUCCCUAUCCUCCUAUAAAAUAGCCAAAAGCUGAUGUGAGAGAAUGUGUGUGUGUGUGUGUGUGUGUGUGUGUGUGUGUGUGUGUGUGUGUGUGUGUGUGUGUGUGUGUGUGUGUGUGUGUGUGUGUGUGUGUGUAAUUUGCGACUGUGCAUCAAUCUUACUCCUCCUGAGGCCUGUGACUCACCUUUGUGGUUGUGACUCCCCCGUCUCCCCCUUUCUGAGGUAAACCACAGUGCUGCCCACAGCCUAUGUCACAGAGAAAACUCCCAGCGUUAACCACAACCUUUCACCUCUCGUCUCACCCCCUCCACAACCCCAACACUAAACCAUCACCAGAUUUAAAACCUCCCUACUUGAGUCACUUGAUAGUCUCCUAAUAGUAACUCUUUACACUCUCUUUGGAUAAUUCAUUCCAAUCGUUUAAAAGUUAACAGCAGGUAUUUGUCAGUGUCACCUUUAUAAACCUUUAUAAUACAGACAAACUCUUGAUUUGUCAGUGUCACCU
ensembl:lncRNA